GGAGCAUGUGGUUUAAUUNGACGCAACGCGCAGAACCUUACCAACCCUUGACAUACUUGUCGCGGAUUCCAGAGAUGGAUUCCUUCAGUUCGGCUGGACAAUGUACAGGUGCUGCAUGGCUGUCGUCAGCUCGUGUCGUGAGAUGUUCGGUUAAGUCCGGCAACGAGCGCAACCCACGUCCUUAGUUACCGGCAUUUAGUUGGGUACCCUAAGGAGACUGCCGGUGAUAAGCCGGAGGAAGGUGUGGACGACGUCAAGUCAUCAUGGCCCUUACGGGUUGGGCUACACACGUGCUACAGUGGCAUCUACAGUGAGUUAAUCUCCAAAAGAUGUCUCAGUUCGGAUUGGGGUCUGCAACUCGACCCCAUGAAGUUGGAAUCGCUAGUAAUCGCGGAACAGCAUGCCGCGGUGAAUACGUUCCCGGGCCUUGUACACACCGCCCGUCACACCAUGGGAAUUGGGUCUACCCGAAGGUGGUGCGCCAACUAUUUAUAGAGGCAGCCAACCACGGUAGGUUCAGUGACUGGGGUGAAGUCGUAACAAGGUAGCC
rnacentral:rRNA from 1 species